rnacentral:rRNA from 1 species
AAUCUUCCGCAAUGGACGAAAGUCUGACGGAGCAACGCCGCGUGAGUGAUGAAGGUCUUCGGAUCGUAAAACUCUGUUGUUAGGGAAGAACAAGUAUCGUUCGUAUAGGGCAGUACCUUGACGGUACCUAACCAGAAAUCCACGGCUAACUACAUGCCACCAGCCGCGGUAAUACGUAGGUGGCAAGCUUUAUCCGGAAUUAUUGGGCGUAAAGCGCGCGAAAGCGGUUUCUUAAGUCUGAUGUGAAAGCCCACGGGUCAACCGUGGAGGGUCAUUGGAAACUGGGAAGCUUGAGUGGAGAAGAGGAGGGUGGAAUUCAAUGUGUAGCGGUGAAAUGCGUAAGAAUAUGGAGGAACACCAGUGGCGAAGGCGAAUCUCUGGUCUGCAACUGACGCUGAGGCGCGAAAGCGUGGGGAGCGAAC